GCCCUUCAUGCUAUUCUGCAUUGGUCAUCAAGUAAUUUCUUCUUCACAGAGCUUAAAAGUCACGGCACGAUUAAUUACUCUUUUCAUCACUAUACCACCACAGCAAAAACUGUGGCUGCGUCCGAAACCGCCUACUUCUCUACUAUUUAGUAGGGGAAAAGCAGUAGGCGAGCGAAUAAGUAUGUCAGAAGCAAAAAGAGUAGGCGAAAAUUACCUGGGUGACGUACUAAUUCUCGCGAGAUUCGGCCGUGCGCCUACUUAAAGUGCAUCCGAAACCGCCUACUUACCUACUCUAUAAUAGGGGGGAAUCAGUAGGUGAGUGAAUAAGUAUGUCAGAGACCUCAGUAAUCAUAAAUGAGUAGUCGAGAAGUUCCCGGAUGGCCUACUGCUUCCGCCCAGAUUCUGAAGUGUUCCUCGAUGGAUACUUUUCUAUCCCAGGAGGCCACGGGAGAGGAUACGUCAUAAUCGAACACGGAGAAAAGCGACGCGGAUGCUGUCAAAUGUGAGCAUUGAAAACCAAAAACACGGUUCUUGUGUUAAAGUCACAUUUGUUGAACUACUGUAGAGUAAACUGCUGAAUGUGUAAAGAUGCCAGACACUAUAGUUGUGAUUUUACUGUAAAAACAUGUUUUAUUUUGUAUAGAUAACAGGGAGCUCUAGUAAACACACAUAACUUAAUUAUCCGAAGAGGAUACAUCUUAAAGAUGCUUACUAAAUGUUUAUUUAACCUCUGACAGGAAAAUAUUAAGAAUAUAUAAAGUAUUAUGACUUAUGCAUGAUGGAUUAUGUUCUAUGAGUGAUGUGUGUAUGUGCUAUUAUGUAUAAUUCACUGUUGUCAACACUGUUUACAUUAAAUUAAUGCAAGUUAUGUAAAUAAACAAAUGUACACUUAACUAGACAGACAUAAGUUAUCUAUUUUAUUUGUCCGUUAGUACUGUUAAUAAAACAAGGAACAUUUGUGUUGGAUAAAAAGUGAGUUAAAACAAAUCUUCAACUACAUCAACAUGUGAAUGUAGAUUUGAGCACAUAAAUCUCAGAGGAAACUUGAAUCUUGUCUGAUGUUACAGGGACAGAAAUGAAUACAAAGUCUAUUUAAAUCUUAAGUUGUAGUUUAUUUUAUUUUAUUGUAAUUUCAAACAGAGUUAUUACAGUACUUUUCUGAUUCUUGAUGUCCUUGCAUUUGUUGCAGAGCUUUGUGUUGGAGCAGGACCUGUGAGGAAAGAUGACAGUGGCAUUUGUGGAAAAAAAAAAAAAAGGAAAACCUGAAACAAAAAUAUAAAGAUGUGAAAUGUCCUCAGACUGGUGUGAGCAGUGAGGAUGGAGAGACACAGCAGAUCCUGGGAAUGGUUCAGUGUCAUGGACAAGAUCCUCCAUCACUCCUCCUGCCCUUACUGCCUCAUCUGGACUGAUGUUGAUGUGAUUUCUUCAUCCUCAGUGAGGCCAGAGCCAGAGCUAGACAAAGACCAAAGGACAGUGAGGAUGUGAUUUUGGUCAAGUUUGUUCUGCUGGUAUCAGUUCAUACACUGAAGCUUCAAAAGCAUCAUCAAAUAAUGUCAUGAAGCUUCUGGAAGUCAGGCUCCAUUGACUGAUAUUGUAGAAACUAGCUGGACAAACUUGAUCAAAAUCAACUUUUGUGUUCAGAAAAAAAAAAAAAAAAUGAACACAGGGAUUGAACAGCAUGAAGGCAAGUGAAUAAUGACUGAAUUUAUUUGUUUGGGUGAACUAACCCUUUAUGCCCUCAAAUAGAAAUAUGUAUGAAAUGUAUGUAUGAAUUUAUAUUAUAGUAGUACCUUGAAAAAGUAAACUUUAAGAAAUAAACAGCUUGAAUUAGCGUUUGUGCUCGAAACACUAACAAAAAAGGAUUUAAAAAAAAAUCGAAUUUACAUUUGGCAGAUGCUGUUAUCCAAAGUGACUAACUGUGCUCUUAUUACAAGGAUGAUCCCGUUGAAGCAACCUGGAAUAAAGUGUCUGGAUCAAGCACACACUGGUGGAGACGCUGCAGAGAUCGAAAAAGCAAACCUUCUGCUGACCAGCUCAAUGGUUUAACCCACCACACCACAAAAUCAUGCUGAUGGAGAGCACAUGGAUGUUUGGAUCAGACACAGCAGAGCCAUAUUGUCCCGCACAUCUUCUCCCACUCCUGCUUUAAGGUUGUGGGGUUCAGGGGUCCAUCAUCAUCAUCUUCCUACUCCUCUGGAUCAACGAUGUCUCCAUUGAGAAGAGCAGCAGUGAGGGACAUGAUGGAUGAAGGUGUUCAUCAGCUGCUUCAUCAGAAUAAAGCUGCAGAAUUGGCACAGCUGUGUGAGAUUACAGCAGGACUGUAAAUACAUGAUUGUUAGAUCAAUAAAUUUGAAUAAAGCUUUGUUUCGUGUGUU